GCAGGCAUUAGAAUCCUGGUGAGGAGGUCUUGUUAAAACUUGAUUUCUUUUGUCCGUUCCUCAGAGUUUCUGAUUCUGUAGGUCUGGGUAGGACCCAGGAAUUUGAAUUUCUAAGAAGUUGCCAGGUGAUGCUGAUGUGCUGAUCUGGGGACCACACUUUGAAAACGACUGCUAUAGAAGCAUAGAAGACCAUCCUGGGAGCCAGACAGAUCUGGAUUUGUAUCCCAGUUCCUCUACUUCCAAGAAGCCCAAGCUAGGAUUCAGAGGUUAAGUAAUUGGUUUGAGUUGGCUGGAAGAGAGGGAGAACUUAAAAAUGCUAAUGGCUAAGGUUCCAUGAACUGCCAGAACACCUCCGAAAGAAGAUGAAGUCACUGGCUGAGACUCCCUUGCUCCCCACCCAGGACAAUAUUUCAGAAUUGUAGAUGAAAAUCACAGUGUAAGAUUUUUUCUCACCCAUUUUCUUAUAUCAUGGUGUUUACUAUGGGAGAUUUUAAAGGUAAUUAGUGUAGUAUUGAACUUUGAGGAUAUAAUGAAAUGUGGACAGGUUUUUAACCUAUGUAUGAACCUUUGCAGGAAUGUUUGCCUUUGAGCCAGGCUUGAGCAUCUCAUUAUUUAUUCCCAUGAUGCCAGUUGACUGAACUGCAUAAUAGUUCCAAAGAUUCUGUCUGCCAGACUCUUGUCUAUUUUCAUAGUGUAUUCAGAAGACUCUGAAAGGACCUGAUACUUAGGAAGAAAGGGCUGGUUCAGUUAGUGGAGACUAGAGGCAUUUGUUCAUUUUCUGUUUGGGAAAAUUGCCAUUAUUUCACCAAGAUGUUAUAAUAAAAAAGCUACUUACUCAUUAAAUGAUAAUGUAGUGUUUUCCCUUCAAAAUGGGAAGACUGAAUAUAAUUUUUUCUAAAGAACCCAUUAUUAAUGUUAAUGAUU